rnacentral:rRNA from 1 species
CAGCCGCCACGGUAAUACGAAGGGUGCAAGCGUUAAUCGGAAUUACUGGGCGUAAAGCGUGCGUAGGCGGUGAGUUAAGUCUGCUGUGAAAUCCCCGGGCUCAACCUGGGAAUGGCAGUGGAUACUGGCUCGCUAGAGUGUGUCAGAGGAUGGUGGAAUUCCCGGUGUAGCGGUGAAAUGCGUAGAGAUCAGGAGGAACAUCAGUGGCGAAGGCGGCCAUCUGGGACAACACUGACGCUGAGGCACGAAAGCGUGGGGAGCAAACAGGAUUAGAUACCCCAGUAGUCCCUGUUUCUUAUAC